rnacentral:rRNA from 1 species
GAGCCUCGAUUCGGCCCGGGAUCCAUACUCAGGAUGACGGCACAUGGAGUUUCACGGGUAAAGGGGAUUAGGGUUCGAUUCUGGAGAAGGAGCCUGAGAACGGCUACUACAUCUACGGAAGGCAGCAGGCGCGUAAUUACCCAAUCCUGACUCAGGGAGGUGGUGACAAGAUAUAACUACGCAAUUUCAUUGUGAUUGUGCCUAGCUAGAUAUAGUAUGGCAAUCUCGAAUAUAUAUCGUGAUGGGGAUAGAUCUUUGCAAUUAUAGAUCUUGAACGAGGAAUUCCUAGUAAGUGCAAGUCAUCAUCUUGCAUUGAUUAUGUCCCUGCUCUUUGUACACACCGCCCGUCGCUCCUACCGAUACCGGGUGAUCCGGUGAACCUGUUGGACCCUUUUGGGAAAAUAAGUAAAUCAUAUCACCUAGAGGAAGAGAGUCGACAGGCGCCGCGGCCACCGCAGAAGAUCAAAUUGUAGCGUAUUUUUGUUACAUCCCGUUAAUUUUGUAUCAGCUCAUUUUUACCAUAGGCGAAUCGCAAUCCUUAAUCAAGAUAACGAAUAGGUGGUGUGUCAGUGACAAGUCCAAUAAGACUGACCCACUCAGGCAACGUUCGGCAUGCCCACUGACCUCCCUACAGUUGGGUCAGGUGCUAGCCUCAUUCGCACCUAGACCGAUAUAUCUCCGGAACCGCGCAUCUGCGCAUAUGAGAAAACAAGUCGGCU